rnacentral:rRNA from 1 species
CCGGCAGCUGCGGCAAUUCCAGCUCCAAUAGCGUAUAUUAAAGUUGUUGCGGUUAAAAAGCUCGUAGUUGGAUCUCGGCAUGCAGGGGACGGUUCGCUCUUAGCGUUACUGUUCCAUUUGCGUGUGUGAUUGGCGGAGGUUUGGGCGUGCUCUUCGCUGAGUGACCCUAGGCGCCGUCAGGUUUACUUUGAAAAAAUUAGAGUGCUCAAAGCAGGCUUUCAUGGCUUGAAUAUUCGUGCAUGGAACAAUGGAAUAGGCUCUCGUUUCUACUUUGUUGGUAUUCGGAAAUCGAGUGAAUGAUUCAUAGGGACAAUUGGGGGCAUUAGUAUUCAGACGACAGAGGUGAAAUUCUUGGACCGUCUGAAGACUAACUACUGCGAAAGCAUUUGCCAAGAGUGUUUUCAU